rnacentral:lncRNA from 10 species
GGAGGAUGAUAGGGAAGACUUUCUGAAGAAGGACGCUAAGUUGAACCAGGGGUGAGUGUUGGACAGCUAAGGGGGAACAGUACCUGCAAAGGCCCCAAAGCAAGAGGCCACAGUAGGGCAGGGCUGAGAGCCAAGGUAGACUGAAGCUUUCAGUGCUAGAGGAAAGUGAUGUGAGACAGGAAGGAGGGGUGGGCAGGAGUGGUUUGGGAAGAAUCUUCUAAGCCUCUCUUAGAUUUCUAGACAUUAUCCUGAUGGUUUUCAUCAGGGAAAUGGCCAAGCUGCAGUUUCACCUUCUGGUUGCAAGGGAGAAAGGAUUGGGGAGAGCAAAGGGGGUGUUGGAAGAGUCCAAGCAGGAGAAAGCAGGGCCAGGAGUAGCGGCAAAGGAGAUAGAAGGAAGUGAGCAGAGGCCAGAGACCUGAUGACUGGACCUGAGGGCGGGAGUAAAAGGACCCCUGCCCAGGGCACCUGUAUGACGUUGGUACCGUUUAUGGAGUCAGAGAACAGCAAGGCUGCAGGC